rnacentral:rRNA from 1 species
GAUGAACGCUGGCGGCGUGCCUAAUACAUGCAAGUCGAGCGAACAGAUGAGGAGCUUGCUCCUCUGACGUUAGCGGCGGACGGGUGAGUAACACGUGGAUAACCUACCUAUAAGACUGGGAUAACUUCGGGAAACCGGAGCUAAUACCGGAUAAUAUAUUGAACCGCAUGGUUCAAUAGUGAAAGACGGUUUUGCUGUCACUUAUAGAUGGAUCCGCGCCGCAUUAGCUAGUUGGUAAGGUAACGGCUUACCAAGGCAACGAUGCGUAGCCGACCUGAGAGGGUGAUCGGCCACACUGGAACUGAGACACGGUCCAGACUCCUACGGGAGGCAGCAGUAGGGAAUCUUCCGCAAUGUGCGAAAGCCUGACGGAGCAACGUCGCGUGAGUGAUGAAGGUCUUCGGAUCGUAAAACUCUGUUAUUAGGGAAGAACAAAUGUGUAAGUAACUAUGCACGUCUUGACGGUACCUAAUCAGAAAGCCACGGCUAACUACGUG